CGCACCUUGCGCUCCUUGGUAUUCCGAGGAGCAUGCCUGUUUGAGUGUCGUGAAAUCAUCAACUCAUAUUACUUUUGUGACAUGAGCUUGGAUUUGGAAGCUGCUGGCUCUUGAAGUUGGCUCUUCUUGAAUGCAUUAGCUGGAUUUGAUUUGCAGCAUAUAUGCGGUGUGAUAAUGUCUUCACUGUGUAGCUCAAGUCAUUUGGCUUCUAACCGUCCUUCCGGACAAUUUUGACUAUCAAGACCUCAAAUCAGGUAGGACUACCCGCUGAACUUAA
rnacentral:misc_RNA from 1 species